rnacentral:rRNA from 1 species
CAUACCUAUUCGAAGGGAUAGGGUCGGUUCGGCCGGAUUUUACACAAGUGUUGCAUGGCUGUCGUCAGCUCGUGUCGUGAGAUGUUGGGUUAAGUCCCGCAACGAGCGCAACCCUCAUCCUUAGUUGCCAUCAGGUAAUGCUGAGUACUUUAAGGAAACUGCCAGUGAUAAGCUGGAGGAAGGUGGGGAUGAUGUCAAGUCAUCAUGGCCUUUAUGGAGUGGGCUACACACGUGCUACAAUGGUGUCUACAAUGGGCUGCAAGGUGCGCAAGCCUAAGCUAAUCCCUAAAAGACAUCUCAGUUCGGAUUGUACUCUGCAACUCGAGUACAUGAAGUUGGAAUCGUUAGUAAUCGUGGAUCAGCAUGCCACGGUGAAUACGUUCUCGGGUCU